ACGCUCUGAUCACAUGGCAGAUGAAGAGAAGUGGGCUUCCGUUCAAAAGGAAAACAAAAAAAAUGAGAGAGUCUGUCAGACAGCCAUGAGACCAUCUUAGGCCUGAGAUUAAGGGUCUAAGAACGAUCAUCUACUGUAACCACAGCUCGAGAAACCAUGGAUAGCUGUUAAUCACGCUCUGGUCACAUGGCCAUGCUUCAUCAACCAGACUUGGAUUCCUGUCUCCUUAGAAUUCAAGGAUACAAUGGU
rnacentral:lncRNA from 1 species